UACGUAGGUGACAAGCGUUGUCCGGAUUUACUGGGCGUAAAGAGCGCGCAGGCGGUCGUUCAAGUCGAGUGUGAAAGCCCCCGGCUCAACUGGGGAGGGUCAUUCGAUACUGAUCGACUCGAAGGCAGGAGAGGGUAGUGGAAUUCCCGGUGUAGUGGUGAAAUGCGUAGAUAUCGGGAGGAACACCAGUGGCGAAGGCGACUACCUGGCCUGUUCUUGACGCCGAGGCGCGAAAGCUAGGGGAGCAAACGGG
rnacentral:rRNA from 1 species